GGCUGGGUAGCUCAAUUGGUUAGUAGCGCCGCCCUCAUAAAGCGGAGGUUGACGGUUCGAUCCCGUCCCCAGCCA
rnacentral:tRNA from 1 species